UGGGGAAUAUUGGACAAUGGGCGAAAGCCUGAUCCAGCAAUGCCGCGUGAGUGAUGAAGGCCUUAGGGUUGUAAAGCUCUUUUACCAGGGAUGAUAAUGACAGUACCUGGAGAAUAAGCUCCGGCUAACUCCGUGCCAGCAGCCGCGGUAAUACGGAGGAGGCAAGCGUUAUCCGGAAUUAUUGGGCGUAAAGCGUCCGCAGGUGGUUGUUCAAGUCUGCGGUCAAAGACCGGAGCUAAACUCCGGAGAUGCCGUGGAAACUGAAGAACUAGAGACCGGUAGGGGUAGAGGGAAUUCCCAGUGUAGCGGUGAAAUGCGUAGAGAUUGGGAAGAACACCAGUGGCGAAAGCGCUCUACUGGGCCGGUACUGACACUCAGGGACGAAAGCUAGGGGAGCGAAAGGGAUUAGAUACCCCCGUAGUCC
rnacentral:rRNA from 1 species